GUAUAAAUCUGGCAGGGGAGAUACUAUGAUCACAGAGGUGGUUUUCCUACCUUUGAGGCUCAUCCAUUGCACUCUGGAUGAGCUGACACCUGCGAUUUCCCCAAAUGCGGGAAAGUCGACUGUAUAAUUUGUGGAAUCUCUAGCCUAUGGGCCGAACUAGAU